rnacentral:rRNA from 1 species
UACGUAGGGUCCGAGCGUUGUCCGGAAUUACUGGGCGUAAAGAGCUCGUAGGUGGUUUGUCGCGUUGUUCGUGAAAACUCACAGCUCAACUGUGGGCGUGCGGGCGAUACGGGCAGACUAGAGUACUGCAGGGGAGACUGGAAUUCCUGGUGUAGCGGUGGAAUGCGCAGAUAUCAGGAGGAACACCGGUGGCGAAGGCGGGUCUCUGGGUCGAUACUGACACUGAGAAGCGAAAGCGUGGGGAGCGAACAGG